rnacentral:lncRNA from 1 species
UCAUGUUACUUAAUCUUUCAUUUCCUCUGGACUUUAUGGAGUUUUUGAGCUAUUAUUGAUCUUUGAAUACCUCCUUAGAUGAUAGUAGUGCAAACGUAAAAUUCUGAUUAUUCAUGUUAAAGAAAUAACAAUUCCUACAACCAUUGUAAAUUACACACUUAUCAGACUAUCAGGGUCUUCCCAAUAGGAUAUAACUAGCAUGCAUGGAAACAACAUCACAACGUACUUUAUUAGUGUAUCCCUCAAUAGAGAAGGAAACUAAUACUUGUUU